UACGUAGGUGGCAAGCGUUGUCCGGAUUUACUGGGCGUAAAGAGCGCGCAGGCGGCUGGUCAAGUCCGAUGUGAAAUCUCCCGGCUCAACUGGGAAACUGCAUCGGAAACUGAUCGGCUUGAAGGUGGGAGAGGGUAGUGGAAUUCCCGGUGUAGUGGUGAAAUGCGUAGAUAUCGGGAGGAGCACCAGUGGCGAAGGCGGCUUCUGGCCUAUUCUUGACGCUGAGGCGCGAAAGCUAGGGGAGCGAACGGG
rnacentral:rRNA from 1 species